rnacentral:rRNA from 1 species
UACGUAGGGUGCGAGCGUUGUCCGGAUUGACUGGGCGUAAAGCGCACGCAGGCGGCCGUGCACGUGGGGUGUGAAAGCUGGCGGCUUAACUGCCAGACGCCACCUCAUACGGCACGGCUCGAGCCCGUGAGAGGUCCACGGAAUUGCCGGUGUAGUGGUGAAAUGCGUAGAGAUCGGCAGGAACACCCAGGGGGAAACCAGUGGACUGGCACGGUGCUGACGCUCAGGUGCGAAAGCGUGGGGAGCGAACCGG